AGAGCAAUGGAGUAGUGGGGUGGAACACGAAAAUCAGUGGGUAAGUGGAUAGAGGUUUUUGCUUUUUUUUUGCCAUAAAAACUGUCACUUUGUUCUAAAUAUAUAAAUUUACAAGGGAAACCAUAUUUUUAUUUUUUUAUGUACAGUAAGUUGUGGCAGUGCUUCUGCAAAGUGACUGUGUUUUGUUGCUCUUCUCUGUGAAUACAAUGUUCGCUACAUGACUGAAAGCAAUAUUUAGUAAAGAUUUUGUAAUUCUUAAAAUGUACCAGUCAUAACAGGCUGCUUUUGAAUAGGUUCGUCAUCUCCCAUCGGUAUACCCGCGCAUGCAGUGUCUGCUAAGGAUCGCCCCGUCCACCGCAAACCACCGGAUACCAUCAGCGGCAAAAGGACUGAUCCCCUCCAUUUCACAGCGCCAUACCAGGGACCCGAGGAAGAAACACACCAGAUGCACCAGAUGACACCUACCUCUCCUUCUGGAGAAUUGCUUCUACGUGCCUUUAUUUGACCACCAAAAUGUGUACUGAAAGAGCUAACGCUGAACAGCAGAAACCAGAAGCAGCAAAUCAGAAUCCAUCAUGUACAAGUAGGACUUUUGCAGAUUGAAUUAUAAUUGGCUACACAAGAAAAAAACCUUCUUGUUAUUGAACACUGCUGUACAUGGCUUAUUUUAUAAUCCCAGUAGUGCUUCUUUAGGGAUAUUAAAUAUAUGGUCAAAUAUAUAGUAAAGAGUCCAUUCAUUAAUCUAUAAGACGCGUUCACAAUUGAGCAUUUUUUCAGCUAGAAGCUCGAUGCUCAGAAACGCCCAACAAGCAAAAUCACAUUUAUUUUAAUAGAUUUCAUUUCCAAUGUUCACAUUUGACCAUUUGAGUAUUUUCAGUUAUCUGCUGCUGAUUGUUUCAUUUUUGGAAAGUCCCUACGUGGAAUUCUUUUCUUGAACUUUGCAUGUCCUCCCAUUUUCAAUAAAGUGGGCCCAAAAGCCUUUAAACCAAA